UACGUAGGGUGCGAGCGUUAAUCGGAAUUACUGGGCGUAAAGCGUGCGCAGGCGGUUUUGUAAGCCGGAUGUGAAAUCCCCGGGCUUAACCUGGGAAUGGCAUUCGGGACUGCAAGGCUGGAGUGCGGCAGAGGAGACUGGAAUUCCUGGUGUAGCAGUGAAAUGCGUAGAUAUCAGGAGGAACACCGAUGGCGAAGGCGGGUCUCUGGGCAACAACUGACGCUGAGGAGCGAAAGCGUGGGGAGCGAACAGG
rnacentral:rRNA from 1 species